rnacentral:piRNA from 1 species
UGACCUGUGACGGUAUCUGAUUUGGGCA